UAGGCUAAGGCCCGCUGGCUUGGGUGUUUAGUUGUUAACUAAUUUUUUUACGGGAUCGAGGCCCGUUGGCCUAG
rnacentral:tRNA from 2 species